UACGGGGGGGGCAAGCGUUGUUCGGAAUUACUGGGCGUAAAGGGCUCGUAGGUGGCCAACUAAGUCAGACGUGAAAUCCCCAGGCUCAACUUGGGAACUGCGUCUGAUACUGGAUGGCUUGAAUUCGGGAGAGGGAUGCAGAAUUCCAGGUGUAGCGGUGAAAUGCGUAGAUAUCUGGAGGAAUACCGGUGGCGAAGGCGGCAUCCUGGAUCGAUAUUGACACUGAUGAGCGAAAGCUAGGGGAGCAAACGGG
rnacentral:rRNA from 1 species